GUUGCGCGACAAGGUCUCCACUUGAUUUUGAUGGACGCUGUAAAGACUCUGAAGGAGAAGGCGAAAGCUUACAGAGGAAAACCUUCUCUAGGUGAAGAGCUCCAGUGUGUAACCCGUCAGGUGAAGGAGUCUGAACGGGAAGCGGAAUCGGUCAUUCAGGCUGUGACCACCGUUAAAGGGACGAUGGAAAGAGUGGCGGGUGCCUGGAAGACUUACAACAAACACCUGACCUUUCUUCAUCUGCAAGCUCAAAGUCCUGUUGAGGAGGGUGUAAAUGAGUGGACUUCACGCCAUGCUCAGUUGAACGAGGCCGGGAGUUUUCUGAUUGAAGUGAGCGAAAUGGCAACGAGCUUCGCUCUGACUGAGCAGCUCAGCAAAGUCAACAAGUCAUGGGCUGAGCACAUAAGGAAGACAGUGUUUGAGGUUCCAUCAGGGACCUGUCUCGUGAGUCAUCAAGUGGUGAGUUCAAUUAUCCAGGAGGCCAGUUUGCUUCUGAGAAAACCAGUGGAAGUGGCUUCUGUCCCACUGAAGGCUAAAAUACAGACACUGCAGUCACUGAAGAAAAAGUUAUCUGCGAUGGACGGUUCAUCUUUUAUGGACUCUCUAGACUCUGAGGCAAGAGAUGCAGAAAAGCCACAGCAAAUUGUACAGAUGAUUGUAGAAGCAGAGAGGACCUGUGCAGAGAUGCAGCGAGCUGCGUCCAGGCUAGAAGCAGGUCUGGCAAAGUUAGACCACUGGAGCUCAGGGGCCCUGGACUGCUACACCCAGCUGAAAGAGAAAAGGAACCGAGGAGCCCAUGGGUCUGAGUCAACAGCCAAAGUCAGCACAUAUGAAGUUUGUGCUUGUCUUUUGACUUCAGUUGAUGCUUUAUUUUUCUCUCCUUACUAACCCAAAGGCACCUAGGUAUAACUGUAAAAGUAGACUCACAUUGGGCAAUUCCCAUGCGUUCUGGCUUGUUUUACUGGUUUAACUGCUCCAUGGUCUACCAAAAGAGUGAAACGAUAAUUACAAAGUCUAUUUCUAGAGUUUACAACAACAAGCUGCUUGCUUUCUACCGAAAUGUUGCAUUAUACAAACAUUGGACAAAAAGUCUUUGCAGUUUGUAAAUCAACAAUAUGUGUCCAUUUCCUCACCAACUAAGCUUGACUGGGUAUAAAGGGGGGUGCCUGUGUGUUGCCCUGGAACCUAAGUCACAUUGUGUGCGCAGGUCAGUGAGGAGGAGAAAUAGUGCUUGUGUUUGAGGACCCAUUCUGCAGCACUCUUACACAUGAUGGCACCAAACAUGCUCAAGUAAAACCUUUACUUUGAUGAAAACCCCUCCACCAGCACAGGAUAUGAUUUGCGACUCCCCUUUGUGGAAUGCCCGGUUAUACAUUAUCGACCAUUGCAUCAGUCGUGUUGCAUCUCCACUCCAAUCAUUCGAUAUAGUUCAUAGUAAAGUUUCCAGUUUUGCUUGUGACCGUCUGUAAUAACUGCAACAAACUUCUUUCUGGAUGGCGUUUAAACUUUUCAAGCCUGAUGAUGCAAUUGUCCGCAGCAUUUCAGUGAUUAAGUAUUUUUUUAUUGUGACAUAUAGGGAUCUUUUAGAUUCAGUUUUUUUUAUAAGGCUUGAUUUUAAUAUGCAAAGUUUUUCUGAAGAUGUUUUCAAGCCUGUGGUUAAUUAAUAAUGCAGACAAGACAAGGUAGAUAGUACAUCACGUUUUAUUUUGUAUUUUAAAUGCUUCCAAUAACUGUACUUUUGAAAAUGAAUCAAAUUGGAAAUCACUUGCCUCCUGCUCCAUGUAAAAAUCAAAUAUAACUGAAGUUAUAGUUGCAUGAGAAAUAUGCAGUGAAACUGAAGUGCUUUUGUUUUGGAACUGAGUCAGAAUAAAAUAAUGUCUAACCCUUGUUGUAUUCAGAAGGCAGCAAUAGCGGCCCCGUCUACAAAAUCCUGGGAUGUGGAAACAGCAAUUUUCUGGAUCAAGUUUGCGCUGCCACUGCGUCUUCUGAUUGCUCAAAAUAAGUAAAGGUUAAAUGGCACGAUAUGCACGCGAUUGUACUACAGGCGUAAAAUUCCAACCCUGGAUAAUCUCAUCAUCUUGUGUUGCAUUUUGCAGAAAUUGUGGUAAUUCCCUUCCAAUGCGACCCCAGCAAUUACAAAUAGCAAUGAAGGAUAAACUGGGCCUAAGCCAUAUUCACAUAAAGUCACAGUCAUACUGUGUGACAAAAGUCAUCGAAAAACCAAAGGUUGAUGGUUCUUCUUCUCUGUUCCCUUAGAUUUGACCGUGUCUGGGAACAUGGAACCUGCACCUUAGCACAUGUUUAUCCCCUGACUGGACUUCCUCUAACCCAAGUAGCCCAACCAGCAUCAUGGAAUCAUAAUUUCCUGUAAAGUCCUUUGAAUUAUCAAGAGCAAAAUUUGCAGGAGAACCAUUGGGUGAAGUGGACCAAUCAUUUUUUAUUUCCUCCCCCACACACUAGAUUCAGCAAAGUGAAAAUGAUGCCUACAGUGGGAGGGGCCUUGACCUUGACUGCACUUUACUUCACCCAAUCUAGAAACAUUCUAAAAACGUCAAAUGAGCACAACAAAGUAAAUUUAGGGGUUUGUUGACUCCAACCUCCUACCAGUUAAAAAGAGUUGAAACAAUGUCAGGCCCAAAAUAGUUUGAAUAAAGCAUGCCAACAUUUGUUAUGAGGAAAAAAGUAAGGAUCAUAAAAGAUUUUGGCACUAGACUGUGCGUUCAUUUUUGGACAAAUUUUCUUUUUUUUUUUUUAUUCUUUUUUUCAGCAAACAAUACAGACAGUGCAAUAUCUAAACAACAACAACAAAAAAGGGCAACAACAAAAAUAAGAAGAUAAAGAGAAAAGAAAAAAAGAAAAAACCCUGCUAUUUUACUAUUACGUGUUUAAAUAGAGGUUGACUUGCUAUAUACUGUUGAAAUAAUCAAUAAAUGGUUGCCAUGUUUCAUUAAAAAAGGUUUUCUUGCUGUCUCAAUGAAAAUUUGAUCUUUUCUAAAUUUAAGUAUUGCAUUAUGUUUCUUACCAAAUGAAGAUGUGUUUGGGGAAAUUUGCUUUUACAAUUAAGUAGGAUCAGAUGUCUAGCGAAUAGGGUAACAUAAGUCAGGACAUUUUUUGGGACAAAUUUGGAUCAAAUUUCUGUGCUCCUCUUUGAACUGUGGGUACAUGAAGACCUGCAAUAUAUGGUCCCGAAAGUAUGGUUAUGAAACACCUUUAAUGCUCACCUGGUUUGAGGUCUUGGUGUGAAGACACUACCAUGGAUUAUCUGAGAUUUAUCUCACUAAUCUGUGUCUUUCUUUGUGGAAUGAUCACGAAAGCUCCAGCGUCCUCACCAUCUCAUUGGUGGUAAAAUGGAUCCCUACAUUUGAAAUAAACACUAACAUUUCUGCUCUUUCACAGGCAAUGGUCUCCCAGGGGUGGCAGCUGGCUCAGGAGGUGAAAACUGAGAGUCAAUGUUUGCAGGAACAUGUUGAAGGCCUGCAAAAACACUCCAUGUUGCACUUUAGCAUAUCAUUCCUGCAAAGCAGGGUUUCAGCAUCAGAGACCCACUGCCAGGAAAUUCUUGGAAUGUUUCAGGAGCUUGGGUUCCAGCAUGACUUUGGAGAAUUUCAUCAGGAAACAGUUCACCCAGAGACUGGAUUGUACGUUGUGGCGAAAACCAGACAUGUUGAGGAGGUUGUGCCGCUAACUCUGUACCAGACAUCCCUUCCAAGGACAGUAAAUUUGCAUGGCUUUGAGUGUAAUCUCGCAGAUGAUGGGAAGCUGCUUCCCAGAAUCCAUAUGGGUUUGGUUCAGGAGAUCUUGCCUGCUGGAAUGGACACCACUGCUCGGUGUCCAGAGAAGUCCUUCACAGAAGAAACACCCACAGAAACUCAGAAGAUCAAGGUCCAAUCCAGAAAAGGAAUGUUGGCAAAAACGCCACAGAAUCCUUUAGUUUCACAGCCACCUCUGAUGAUCUAUAGCGAAGUCCGGUCAAAAGCCCAGGCGAUGGCAAAGAGUCGGCUGCAGAAAUCCGGGCUUCGUCUGCACGGAUGCAUCCAGCAAGCACUGCUGAUGUUUGCAGGCAGACAAAUUUCAGAUGUUCCUCCCAAGAAGACACAGGUACGCUACAGAAGCUUUAGAUGGGGAAAGCUCAACUUAAGUGUUGAGCUGUCCUCUUAAAUGCUCACAGUGCUUUAGUUGCAAUAUCCAGAACUUAAGACUGUUUUCAUAUUAUACGGUCGAGUUUCAUCAGGGUCUGUGGUGUGUGGCUUUGUGCAGCUGGCUUUUGU